rnacentral:rRNA from 1 species
AACGAACGCUGGCGGCAGGCUUCACACAUGCAAGUCGAGCGCCCCGCAAGGGGAGCGGCAGACGGGUGAGUAACGCGUGGGAAUCUACCCAUCUCUACGGAAUAACGCAUGGAAACGUGUGCUAAUACCGUAUACGUCCUUCGGGAGAAAGAUUUAUCGGAGAUGGAUGAGCCCGCGUUGGAUUAGCUAGUUGGUGGGGUAAAGGCCUACCAAGGCGACGAUCCAUAGCUGGCCUGAGAGGAUGAUCAGCCACACUGGGACUGAGACACGGCCCAGACUCCUACGGGAGGCAGCAGUGGGGAAUAUUGGACAAUGGGCGCAAGCCUGAUCCAGCCAUGCCGCGUGAGUGAUGAAGGCCCUAGGGUUGUAAACCUCUUUCACCGGUGAAGAUAAUGACGGUAACCGGAGAAGAAGCCCCGGCUAACUUCGUGCCAGCCGCCGCCGUAAUAC